AUUGAACGCUGGCGGCAUGCCUUACACAUGCAAGUCGAACGGCAGCACGGGAGCAAUCCUGGUGGCGAGUGGCGAACGGGUGAGUAAUACAUCGGAACGUGCCCAGUAGUGGGGGAUAACCCGGCGAAAGCCGGACUAAUACCGCAUACGACCUACGGGUGAAAGCAGGGGAUCGCAAGACCUUGCGCUAUCGGAGCGGCCGAUGUCAGAUCAGCUAGUUGGUGGGGAAAGGCCCACCAAGGCAACGAUCUGUAGCUGGUCUGAGAGGACGACCAGCCACACUGGGACUGAGACACGGCCCAGACUCC
rnacentral:rRNA from 1 species